AUUAUAUGUUGUCUUUUGUAUCUGAGUUUUUUCACUUAGCAUAAUGUUUUCAAGGUUCAUGUUUGCUGGAGCACAUACUAGUACCUUGUUGUUUCUUUUUAUGGUUAUGACUCCAUUGUAUGAAAAUACCACGUUUAUCUAUCCAUUCAUAAUUCGGUGGACAUUUGGGUUGUUUCCACCUCUGACCAUUGUGAAUCAUGCUGCUGUGGCCAGUGCUUUACCAGGAUUUGUUUGAACAGCGUUUUCAGUUCCUUCGGAUGCAUACGUAGUUCACUGCUGGAUCAAAGUGGUUUAAAAAGUAAUAGAAGGGGCUUCCCUGGUGGCUCAGUGGUAAAGAAUCCGCCUGCCAAUGCAGAAGACACUGGUUUGAUCCCUGGUCCUGGAUGAUCCCACAUCCUAUGGAGCAACUUAGCCUGUGUGCCACAACUAUUGAGACUGUGCUCUGGAAUAAAAGUCACAGCACUGAAAAGCCGAGUGCCACAACGGGAGAGUAGUCCCCGCUUGCAGCAACUAGAAAAACUCCCCACACAGCAAUGAAGACUCAGUACAGCCAAAAAUAAAUAGCAGGCCCCAGGUGAGAUGCAGCAGACAGGGCAGUGAUGUAAACAGUUUGGACCUCAUGUCUUUGUGAUUCUCUCAUGUUGAAACGUGAAAGAAGAGGAGUCAGAAAGAGAGUGGCAUAAAGUACAUUGAUGAUGUGCAACUAUUACAACUGUCUUGUUCCCAAAUGGAACCUGUGAAGAUGGAGAAAGAGAUCGGAGUGAUCCUGCUACAAGACUUCCCCAGGAAGUGGCUUUGGGGGUAAUACCCAAAGGUUGGAGGUUGAGUCCUGUGCAAGCAUGGAGUUUGGCAAGUGAAGAGGCAGUAAGGAUGGCUGUUUGCAGGCAGGUACACUGUCUGCAAAGCCGGAAUAUAGACAAUUUCUAGUGGUCCAGGAUUGGAAAAGGUGAGAUGCUGUAGAGGGUGGCAAAGAACACAGGGGUUAAGGGUAUAAUGUGACACCAGCUUACUGGGGAGUAAGAUCAUGCCCUGCCAUACUCUUCUGGACAGGCUGGCUCCUCAGGGAGGACUCAGAGGCAGGUUCUGGCCUGGCCUUGCCCUCCUGCAAGCCCACUUGUCUCCACCAUCACACUUCCCCCAGUUUGUGUGAGCCUGAUUUCCACUCGAACCUGCCUCCACUGAUGCUAUUCUGAAAGAAUUGCCUUGCCGGAGUCUAGUGAAGGGACAGUAACCGGGGCCACCGCAGGACCCAACCUGUCCAGCAAUUUCUAGGCACUUCCCACCUCUCUGGUCACUGCUGCCUCAGUGCCUGCCUGCCUCAGGGCCUGUGCACUUGCUUCUGCCUGAACUGUUCUGUGCUGUUGGAGGAAACUCUUGAGAGUCCCUUGGACUGCAAGGAGAUCCAACCAGUCCGUCUUAAAGGAGAUCAGUCCUGAGUGUUCAUUGGACGGACUGAUGUUGAAGCUGAGACUCCAAUACUUUGGCCACCUGAUGAGAAGAGCUGACUCAUUUGAAAAGACCCUGAUGCUGGGAAAGAUUGAAGGCAGGAGGAGAAGGGGACCACAGAGGAUGAGAUGGUUGGAUGGCAUCACCGACUCAAUGGACAUGAGUUUGGGUGAACUGCGGGAGUUGGUGAUGGACAGGGAGGCCUGACAUGCUGCGUUUCAUGGGGUCCAACGAGUCGGACACGACUGAGUGACUGAACUGUUCUUCCCCUAACUGUUAGGGCCAGCCCUGAGUCCCACACUCUUGACCAUCACCUACGUAUUUUGACUGUUGGGCCAGGAUAGGUAUGGCUCAUCCCUACCCCACGCAACCCGGUGAUUUUGGGGCCCAGCACAGAGUGCUGGACUGGGGUCAUGGAAAGUGCUCAGCAAAUAAUUACUAAAGGAUUCCGCGCCUCAGGCAGCUCACGGCCAGCCACCAACUUUCCUCCUCCCUCUUCCUAGGAGGGAAGCGGGGUCUAGGCCCAGGCCGCGGGGGAGGGCAAGGCCCGCGGCGGGG
ensembl:lncRNA